GACGAACGCUGGCGGCGUGCUUAACACAUGCAAGUCGAGCGAGGCCCACCUUUCGGGGUGGUGUCCGAGCGGCGAACGGGUGAGUAACACGUGGGCAACCUGCCCUCAGCUCUGGGAUAACUCCAAGAAAUUGGGGCUAAUACCGGAUAUGACUGCUGACCGCAUGGUCUGGUGGUGGAAAGAUUUAUCGGCUGGGGAUGGGCCCGCGGCCUAUCAGCUUGUUGGUGGGGUAGUGGCCUACCAAGGCGACGACGGGUAGCUGGUCUGAGAGGAUGGCCAGCCACAUUGGGACUGAGAGACAGCCCAGACUCCUACGGGAGGCAGCAGUGGGGAAUCUUGCGCAAUGGCCGAAAGGCUGACGCAGCGACGCCGCGUGGAGGAUGACGGUCUUCGGAUUGUAAACUCCUGUUCGCCCGGGACGAACACACCGUUUUCGACGGUGCUGACGGUACCGGGUGAGGAAGCGACGGCUAACUCUGUGCCAGCAGCCGC
rnacentral:rRNA from 1 species